GAGGCGGCGGAGGAGAGCUCCUCGCCCCCUCCCUGUCUCGGAGGAGGAGGAGGGUGGGGGGUGGCGGCGGUGCCGGGGUGCUGCGUGGCUCCGAGCCCCGCUAACUGUGUGCGUGUCUGUCUCUCUCUCUCCAUGCCGGGGGAUCGCUCUUAAAAUACGCCCGAUACAAUGCACCAGCCUGACUCAGCCGCAGACAUUAGUGCUAGGAAGAUGGCGCACCCGGCAAUGUUUCCUAGAAGGGGCAGCAGCAGUAGCAGCGGCAGCAGCUGCGUUACUGCUCCCACUGCACCAGGUACCGGCGUCGGGAGCUCUGCCCUCUCCGCCGAGGAUUACCAGCCGCCCCUGCUGGUCCAGCCGCCGCCUCCAUCUCCUGCAGCAUCCUCAUCGACGGGCCCGCAGCCGACACCCCCUCCUCCACAAAGCCUGAACCUCCUCUCGCAGUCUCAGCUCCAGCCGCAGCCUCUCGCGCAGACUGGAGCUCAGAUGAAAAAGAAAAGUGGCUUCCAGAUUACCAGCGUGACCCCUGCUCAAAUAUCUGCCAGUAUGAGCUCUAAUAACAGCAUAGCCGAAGAUACAGAAAGCUACGAUGACCUGGAUGAGUCUCACACGGAAGACCUGUCUUCUUCAGAAAUCUUGGAUGUUUCUUUAUCCAGGGCCACUGACUUGGGUGAACCUGAGAGGAGCUCCUCUGAAGAGACUUUAAAUAACUUCCAAGAGGCAGAGACUCCCGGGGCCGUUUCUCCCAACCAGCCUCAUCUUCCUCAGCAGCACCCUUCUCUGCCUCAUCAUCCUCAGCAGAGCGUUGUGAUCAACGGAAGCGUUCAUCCCCAUCACAUCCAUCACCACCAUCAUCUUCACCACCACCAUCAUGGACACCAUCACCCAUCGCAUCCCGGGGUGGGCAGCGCCCCAGUUUCUGGAGGACCACCACCCAGCCCAUCGUUUAGAAAGCUCUCAACAACUGGAAGCUCUGACAAUGUUAUAUCAGCCGCACCGGGUUCUGCUGCAUCAUCCACUGGUUCCUCUGCAUCUGUCGUGUCUAAUAUCCGCACUACGAGUACUCCUGGCAAUCUAGGUGUAAGUUCUGCCACUGGAACUAGUACCUUGAAUAACAUGGGUGGAGGUAGUUCUAGCGUGGCAAGCAACGUGCUUGGUACUAUGAAUUUAAGCAACAUCACAAGUGCUGGUAAUGUAAAUGCUUUGUCUGGAACUAGUGGCAAUGUUAAUGUGAAUAUCUUGAGUGGUGUUGGCAAUGGUACGAGUGCUUCCUCUAGUGUCGUUAACAAUGUUACUAAUCCGAGUGCAGGAGUGGCCGCGGGAUCCAGCCAGCAGCAGCCCGCAUCUGGCACCUCAAGGUUUAGAGUUGUAAAAUUAGAUUCUAGUUCUGAACCUUUCAAAAAAGGUAGAUGGACAUGCACUGAGUUCUAUGAUAAAGAAAACACUGUUGCAGCUUCAGAAGGAGUAGCAGUAAACAAAGCAGUAGAGACGAUAAAACAAAACCCGCUUGAAGCGACUUCUGAAAGGGAGAGCACCAGUGGGAGUUCUGUUAGCAGCAAUGUAAGCACACUGAGUCACUAUACAGAAAGUGUGGGAAGUGGAGAAAUGGGAGCACCUCCUGUGGUACAGCAGCAAGCGUUUCAAGGUGUGGGUCCUCAGCAGAUGGAUUUUAGCAGCGCUGCUCCUCCAGCGAUUCCAGCAUCUAGUAUACCACAGAGUGUUUCCCAAUCACAGCUUGCACAAGUCCAGCUGCAUUCUCAAGAGAUAAACUAUCCACAGCAGAAGCCAGGGGUCCAACCUCCUGCACAGGCCAGUCUAACCACUGUUACUGGGGUUCAGCCAGCCCCGGUUAAUCUACUAGGUGUAUCCCCAGCUCUGGGCCACCAGCAGCCUGCCAUUCAAAGUAUGGCUCAACAGCAGUUACCUUAUUCUCAGCCGGCGCAGCCUGUGCAGACUCUGCCAGUUGUACAACAGCAACAGUUGCAGUAUGGACAGCAGCAGCAGCAGCAGCAAGCGGUUCCUACGCAGAUGGCCACAGGUCACGUUAAAUCGGUGAACCAAAACUCUGUUACGGGGGCCGUGCCAGAGUACAUUCAGCAUCAGCAGAUCCUUCAGCCCCCGGCACCUGCCAUGCAGCCUAGUCCUGCGGGAGUAGGGGCAGGGCCACCGGUUCCUGUUGCCCAGGCCCCGAGCAUGCAGCCUGCAGUCCCGACGCACCCAGCCGCUGCCCCGGCUCAGCCUGUUGCACACGCCCCAGCAACGAUACCAGGUGUGGGUACCGGUGGGCAGAUGCUGAACGUUGGGCAGCAAGCGAACGUGGCCGCUGUGGUGCAGCCACCACCUGCUGCGAACCAAAUUCCACCUCCAGUUAUGCCAUCAACCGCUGCUCCUCCAUCUUCACAAGUGGUGCAGCCUGUGCAGACAGGAAUAAUGCAACAGGGAUUACAGGCUGGCGCUUCAGGCCUUCCUCAGCAAAUGGUUAUUGCUCAGCAAAACACUUUGUUACCUGUACAGCCGCAGGCACAAGCGGUGGAGUCAGUGGUGCAAGGAAUGACUGGCCAGCAGCUGCCUGCAGUUAGCCCCAUACCUUCUGCUAGUACUGUUCCUGCACCGAGUCAAGCUGGUUCGGCUGUGCCCCCUGGCAUUCCUUCUGCUUCUAUAGGCUUGGGACAGCCGCAGAACAUAGCCCAGGCUUCAGCUGUGCAGAAUGGGAAUCUGGCUCAGAGCGUUAGUCAGCCUCCUUUGGUAUCAACGAGUAUAGGUAUGCCAGUGGCACCCAGCGUGCCGCAGCAGAUACCUCUGAGCUCUACCCAGUUCCCAGCACAAUCGCUAGCCCAGCCAGUUGUAAGCCAAAUGGAAGAUGGUAGGCGCCCUACGGAACCUUCUAUUGUUGGUUUACCUCAAGCUGCCAGCGGGGAGAGCAGCGUUGGAGCAUCGGCCAUCGCUGAUGGCGGUAGCAGUAACGUACCAGCCUCGGCCUCCCUCUUCCCAUUGAAGGUGCUGCCCCUGGCGACGCCCCUCGUGGAUGGGGAGGAUGAGAGUCUUUCUGCCUCCCUAUCCUGGAAGUAUGGAGUCCCUGCCUCAGCCUACGGCUUCAUUCUUUUUCCAGCUGCCCACAAAAGUAAAGAACCAGUGUGAAAGUUUGAAGAAAGAAACCACUCAGAGGAUUGAGUCUCAGACUUCCUUUGGGGAAGGAUCUGCUUCCAGGAUUUGCUCGUCUCUUUUUCCUUGGGCAAACAGAGUUCUUGAAGCAAACAACAGGGUUGCAGGUCCUCUUUCAUGCUGAGUGAAGUCAUUUGGAACUAUGUUACGUGCAUUAUUACUUUGGUGCAUCUUAUGACUAUUCUCUCCUUCUUCAUUCCCUCCAACUUGCUUCAGGACACCUUGUAACCUUUAUACUGCUUCACAAGCCUUCGGCAGAAGAUUAUGAGAGCCAUUUAUGUUGCUGGAAGAUGACUGGGUUUGGAUCUUGGCCUUCCUUAAGCAGGAUCUCCUGACAAAAAUGGGAUUGGGAAAGAAAUGACUCCUUUUUCCAUCAUACAGAGCCACCCUAGAAACGGAAGCGUAGGCAGAACGUUACUUCUAAUGCGUGAUUCUUUAGGGAAUUUGUUUGGCUUUCCAUGGUCCUUUUGAUACGGUGUCAUAAAGAUGUUAUAUAAAAACCUGAACCUGGGAUCUUGCUGUCUGAUGAAGAUCAAAUGGGUAAAUCCAACUUGAGGAGUCUGCAGGUCUCACAGCGUGAUGAGAUCUCGCUAACUCCUGUAUAGGUGAUGCCAUGUGAAUCUGUGAAACUGGGUUCUGCUGUGGUUCAGAUUGAUACUUUUGUGAAGCCUUUUCUGCUUAUAGCCUUUUUAAAUGAUCGCCCAACGUAUUGAUGAGGAUUCUUAUGGAAAUGGUAUUUAAUUAGGCUUCUACCUCUUCAAAUUUAUUUUAAUUAAAAGAAAAAGACAAAUGUCCAUGGCUGUAUGGAAAGUAUUGGGCCUUUUGAGGUUACUUCUAUAGGAAAAAAAAGGUAUAUUGGAAGUGCUGAAGGUAGAAAAACAUAGAUUUAUCUUCAAGACUGAAAAGUUGUUAGAAAGCAGAAUGCUUUAAUUUGGUUAUUCCCCCUCAGGGAUUCUGUAGUCAAACUUGAAUUUCUUGCGAGAUCUCAAAUAAAAACCUUAUGUUUGGCCGUAGCGAACGACACAUUCGUGUCCAUCUGCUCUUGUUCUUUUCACUGUAGGAAAUUGAUUUUGAACAAUAGGACUUAGUUUUAACAUUCAAACUAGGAAAGAGGAAAGCUUAGGAGUGUGAGAAGGGCUGGCAGGAGGGUGAACUGGACCCUCUGGCAGGUAAAUAGCUCUUCUAUUUUUCAGUUUUCUGCUUCUGGCAGGUGGAGUAAAGUAGACACUCGUGCUUGAAUCCAAUUAAUUUCUUACAUCGGUUACUGUGCUAAUGCAUUUUAUAACUACUGCCUGGAUCUUUCAUUAAAUGCACCAGCGUGCUCACAUUGUUGAUUGGUCUUAACGUAGCCCUGAGGCUACCGCUUCAUGGCAGUUGUGACUUCUUAUUAUGCUGGAAUGCCUCGCAGCCUUAGUAUGUUCUAAAAAUAAUUGUUCAGAUGGUGCUGUUUAAGUACAUUCUUAUGUAGUGAGCCGUUUUCACUGGACUUUCUGAAAUUUGGCUGUCUGUCGGAUGCCUUUAAUAUCUUUUAUUUCUUUCUCCGUGAGUAUCAGACUUUGUCUUGCCGCUUCUGUAGUUAUCAAGUAAAAUGCGAAUGUUAUGACCUGGUAUUUUUAGAGAACAGUCUGAUAUAUGUGUGAAACUAUGCAACUGCAGUAACAUUUGUGCACUUGGAAGUUUAAAGAAACUGUUUUAAUGUGACAAAUGUUUCUUAUAUAAAAAAAAACACCAAACUGAAGUGUGUGUCUGUGCAUAUGGUGACUUCAAAAUUGAGUAGCUGUCAUAGGUAUGGAUCUUCGGGCAUAAAUUGCGUGCUUAACAGGAGUAAUCUGGAGGUUGUAAGCUGAAGAUCUGCGAGUCUUAGAAAUAAACACUAACAUCUGUGGCUUGAGAUCUGUGCCAGCACUUUUCUUAGUUGAAAAUACCUGUACGUUUUUGGUUUCUAGUCUGCUUCAGGUUUGAUAUGGUUUGUGCCAUCCUUAAAAGGUACGUCUCCUCAACUGCAGGUCUUGGUGGUUUUGUUCUGUAGUGUUACACGAAUUUAAGACCAUUAAACACUUGUGGAAACUAAAUACUGAUAGUAAAAGAGGAGGUACUGAGAACUUACUAAUAUUAUUGUCUCAAUUGCUGUCUCUAGGGAAACAUAAAAUGACUUCGCUCAUCUCCCCCUCUCUCCAUAGUAACAAUUAAAAAACAAAAAAGAAAGAAACAACAACCAAAAACCACAUACAGAGGAAAACUCUCCCAAAUCUGUUGUUUUUAUUAAGUCAUCAUUUUAAUACUACUUGUGUAUCAGCAUUGUUAGCGUACUGCUGUUGUGCUCUGGGCUUUGCAGCUGGCACCUUGGAUCCUUAAUAAGUUGUUUAGAGUGACAACUGCUGCCUUUGUGUUUCUUAAAUAAUAAAGAUGUCUAAAACCCA